CCUACGGGCGGCAGCAGUGAGGAAUAUUGGUCAAUGGACGAGAGUCUGAACCAGCCAAGUAGCGUGAAGGAUGACUGCCCUAUGGGUUGUAAACUUCUUUUAUAUGGGAAUAAAAUGUUCCACGUGUGGGAUUUUGUAUGUACCAUAUGAAUAAGGAUCGGCUAACUCCGUGCCAGCAGCCGCGGUAAUACGGAGGAUCCGAGCGUUAUCCGGAUUUAUUGGGUUUAAAGGGAGCGUAGGUGGAUUGUUAAGUCAGUUGUGAAAGUUUGCGGCUCAACCGUAAAAUUGCAGUUGAAACUGGCAGUCGUGAGUACAGUAGAGGUGGGCGGAAUUCAUGGUGUAGCGGUGAAAUGCUUAGAUAUCACGAAGAACUCCGAUUGCGAAGGCAGCUCACUGGACUGCAACUGACACUGAGGCUCGAAAGUGUGGGUAUCAAACAGGAUUAGAUAACCCAGUAGUC
rnacentral:rRNA from 1 species